UUGACCUCGGAUCAGGUAGGGAUACCCGCUGAACUUAAGCAUAUCAAUAAGCGGAGGAAAAGAAACCAACAGGGAUUGCCUCAGUAACGGCGAGUGAAGCGGCAAGAGCUCAAAUUUGAAAGCUGGCUCCUUCGGGGUCCGCAUUGUAAUUUGCAGAGGAUGCUUCGGGAGCGGCCCCCAUCUAAGUGCCCUGGAACGGGCCGUCAUAGAGGGUGAAAAUCCCGUCUGGGAUGGGGUGUCCGCGCCCGUGUGAAGCUCCUUCGACGAGUCGAGUUGUUUGGGAAUGCAGCUCUAAAUGGGUGGUAAAUUUCAUCUAAAGCUAAAUAUUGGCCGGAGACCGAUAGCGCACAAGUAGAGUGAUCGAAAGAUGAAAAGCACUUUGAAAAGAGAGUUAAACAGCACGUGAAAUUGUUGAAAGGGAAGCGCUUGCGACCAGACUCGCCCACGGGGUUCAGCCGGCAUUCGUGCCGGUGUACUUCCCCGCGGGCGGGCCAGCGUCGGUUUGGGCGGCCGGUCAAAGGCCCUCGGAAUGUAACGCCCCCCGGGGCGUCUUAUAGCCGAGGGUGCCAUGCGGCCAGCCCAG
rnacentral:rRNA from 1 species